rnacentral:rRNA from 1 species
GACGAACGCUGGCGGCGUGCUUAACACAUGCAAGUCGAACGAAGAGCGACGGAAGCUUGCUUCUAUCAAUCUUAGUGGCGAACGGGUGAGUAACGCGUAAUCAACCUGCCCUUCAGAGGGGGACAACAGUUGGAAACGACUGCUAAUACCGCAUACGAUCUAACCUCGGCAUCGAGGAUAGAUGAAAGGUGGCCUCUACAUGUAAGCUAUCACUGAAGGAGGGGAUUGCGUCUGAUUAGCUAGUUGGAGGGGUAACGGCCCACCAAGGCGAUGAUCAGUAGCCGGUCUGAGAGGAUGAACGGCCACAUUGGGACUGAGACACGGCCCAGACUCCUACGGGAGGUAGCAGUGGGGAAUCUUCCGCAAUGGACGAAAGUCUGACGGAGCAACGCCGCGUGAGUGAUGACGGCCUUCGGGUUGUAAAGCUCUGUUAAUCGGGACGAAAGGCCUUCUUGCGAAUAGUGAGAAGGAUUGACGGUACCGGAAGAGAAAGCCACGGCUAACUACGUG